rnacentral:tRNA from 1 species
GGGCCUAUAGCUCAAUCGGUUAGAGCAGGGGACUCAUAAUCCCUUGGUUCCAGGUUCGAGUCCUGGUGGGCCCAUCA